AACGAACGCUGGCGGCAUGCCUAACACAUGCAAGUCGAACGAGACCUUCGGGUCUAGUGGCGCACGGGUGCGUAACGCGUGGGAACCUGCCUUUAGGUUCGGAAUAACUCAGAGAAAUUUGAGCUAAUACCGGAUGAUGUCUUCGGACCAAAGAUUUAUCGCCUUUAGAUGGGCCCGCGUUGGAUUAGCUAGUUGGUGGGGUAAAGGCCUACCAAGGCGACGAUCCAUAGCUGGUCAGAGAGGAUGAUCAGCCACACUGGGACUGAGACACGGCCCAGACUCCUACGGGAGGCAGCAGUGGGGAAUAUUGGACAAUGGGCGAAAGCCUGAUCCAGCAAUGCCGCGUGAGUGAUGAAGGCCUUAGGGUUGUAAAGCUCUUUUACCCGAGAUGAUAAUGACAGUAUCGGGAGAAUAAGCUCCGGCUAACUCCGUG
rnacentral:rRNA from 1 species